UGGGGAAUAUUGCACAAUGGGCGCAAGCCUGAUGCAGCCAUGCCGCGUGUGUGAAGAAGGCCUUCGGGUUGUAAAGCACUUUCAGCGGGGAGGAAGGCGUUAAGGUUAAUAACCUUGGCGAUUGACGUUACCCGCAGAAGAAGCACCGGCUAACUCCGUGCCAGCAGCCGCGGUAAUACGUAGGGUGCAAGCGUUAAUCGGAAUUACUGGGCGUAAAGCGCACGCAGGCGGUCUGUCAAGUCGGAUGUGAAAUCCCCGGGCUCAACCUGGGAAAUGCAUUCGAAAAUGGCAGGCUAGAGUCUUGUAGAGGGGGGUAGAAUUCCAGGUGUAGCGGUGAAAUGCGUGGAGAUCUGGAGGAAUACCGGUGGCGAAGGCGGCCCCCUGGACAAAGACUGACGCUCAGGUGCGAAAGCGUGGGGAGCAAACAGG
rnacentral:rRNA from 1 species